GAUGAACGCUGGCGGCGUGCUUAACACAUGCAAGUCGAACGAUGAAGCCCAGCUUGCCGGGUGGAUUAGUGGCGAACGGGUGAGUAACACGUGAGUAACCUGCCCUUGACUCUGGGAUAAGCCUGGGAAACUGGGUCUAAUACUGGAUAUGACUUCUCAUCGCAUGGUGGGGGGUGGAAAGAUUUAUUGGUCUUGGAUGGACUCGCGGCCUAUCAGCUUGUUGGUGAGGUAAUGGCUCACCAAGGCGACGACGGGUAGCCGGCCUGAGAGGGUGACCGGCCACACUGGGACUGAGACACGGCCCAGACUCCUACGGGAGGCAGCAGUGGGGAAUAUUGCACAAUGGGCGCAAGCCUGAUGCAGCGACGCCGCGUGAGGGAUGACGGCCUUCGGGUUGUAAACCUCUUUCAGUAGGGAAGAAGCGAGAGUGACGGUACCUGCAGAAGAAGCGCCGGCUAACUACGUG
rnacentral:rRNA from 1 species